rnacentral:tRNA from 1 species
ACAAUUGGGUGUCGCCAAGCGGUAAGGCACCGGAUUCUGAUUCCGGCAUUCCGGGUUCCGAAUCCUCGUACUUGUA